AAUGGAUGCAAUACAUUUUUGAGGAAUAUCAUCUAAUCUAGUGUUGCAGAUUUACAUAGAACUAAGAACUGAAAGAAAUUAGAUACUUAAGAAGGCCUGAAGGCUACUGAUGAUCAUUGUUGCCAGAUCCAUCACAUAUACUAAAUAUGAGACAGGGUAAUGAAAACUUGAGGACUGGAGGAAAAAAAAUUCAUGUCAAG